rnacentral:rRNA from 1 species
CGACGGGUGAGUAACACGUAUGCAAUCCACCUGUAACAGGGGAUAACCCGGAGAAAUCCGGACUAAUACCCCAUAAUAUGGGCGCUCCGCAUGGAGAGUCCAUUAAAGAGAGCAAUCUUGGUUACAGACGAGCAUGCGCUCCACUAGCCAGUUGGCGGGGUAACGGCCCACCAAGGCGACGAUGGAUAGGGGUUCUGAGAGGAAGGUCCCCCACAUUGGAACUGAGACACGGUCCAA